rnacentral:lncRNA from 1 species
AGAAAUUGAAAAUAGCUGGUCACCUUCUUCAAGGUUUGGAUACAUGGUGGAUUCAGAGGCUGAGCUUUGCUGUCUGACCGGCAUGGAUCCAAGUACUGACCCUGCCACUUCUUCAGUGACAUUUGAUUUAUGGACUUCAUGACCUAUGUGUGCUGAACUUGUCUGAAUGACACAGAACAAAAACAACCAAAAGAUAAAGACACUGAGGCCCAGAGAAGUUGAAUACUUUUUCAAAGUUUCAGUUACUUGGCAGCAGAACUAGGCUUUAAACAUCGAAUACUGACUUCAGAGCCCAUGCUUUAAGCGAGGAUGCUAUUCUGCCUCAAACUCUGGGACUACAUUAUAUAGCAGGGGCCAGCAAAUGUGUUCUGUGAAAGGCCAGAUAGUAAAUAUUUUAGGUUUUGUGGGCCAUAAAAUCUCUGCCAUUAUAGCAUGAAAACCAUAG